AGAAUGGUUCCUGAGUUUUCCUGGACUGUGAAAAUCAUAUGGGUGAGCCCCAAGUUUGGUGGUGUUCAGAGUCUACAAGCAAAAGGAAUGGCCUCAAGGACAAUAAAAGAAAACGAGAAAAUAAGAUACAAAGGAUUAUUUCUCAAGGAAAUAUUCUGAUUUGUACUAAAAUAUUUUUACUACUGAAAGCUAGAAUCUCUUUAUAAAUAAUAUAGUACUUUAAUUUUAUAUGUUAGGUAUCAGCCUACCAUAAGCAAACAUUGGAAGAUGUCCUAAAUUACUUUUAAUGGCUAUUCAUGUCAAAAAUAAAAUAUUUCAGAUGAUUCAGAGGCA